CCUACGGGGGGCUGCAGUGAGGAAUAUUGGACAAUGGGCGCAAGCCUGAUCCAGCCAUGCCGCGUGAGUGAUGAAGGCCUUAGGGUUGUAAAACUCUUUUAGUGGAGAAAUGGUAUCCACAGAAAAAGCUCCGGCUAACUUCGUGCCAGCAGCCGCGGUAAUACGAAGGGAGCUAGCGUUACUCGGAAUCACUGGGCGUAAAGCGCAUGUAGGCGGAAUUAUAAGUCAGGGGUGAAAUCCCGAAGCUCAACUUCGGAAUUGCCUUUGAAACUGUAAUACUUGAGUAUGGUAGAGGAUGGUGGAAUUUCCAGUGUAGAGGUGAAAUUCGUAGAUAUUGGAAAGAACACCGGUGGCGAAGGCGGCCAUCUGGGCCAUACUGACGCUGAGAUGCGAAAGCGUGGGGAGCAAACGGGAUUAGAUACCCUGGUAGUC
rnacentral:rRNA from 1 species